GAGGCGUGACGACGAGGCACUACGGUGCUGAAGCAACAAAUGCCCUGCUUCCAGGAAAAGCCUCUAAGCAUCAGGUAACAUCAAAUCGUACCCCAAACCGACACAGGUGGUCAGGUAGAGAAUACCAAGGCGCUUGAGAGAACUCGGGUGAAGGAACUAGGCAAAAUGGUGCCGUAACUUCGGGAGAAGGCACGCUGACACGUAGGUGAAGUGAUUUACUCAUGGAGCUGAAGUCAGUCGAAGAUACCAGCUGGCUGCAACUGUUUAUUAAAAACACAGCACUGUGCAAACACGAAAGUGGACGUAUACGGUGUGACGCCUGCCCGGUGCCGGAAGGUUAAUUGAUGGGGUCAGCGCAAGCGAAGCUCCUGAUCGAAGCCCCGGUAAACGGCGGCCGUAACUAUAACGGUCCUAAGGUAGCGAAAUUCCUUGUCGGGUAAGUUCCGACCUGCACGAAUGGCGUAAUGAUGGCCAGGCUGUCUCCACCCGAGACUCAGUGAAAUUGAACUCGCUGUGAAGAUGCAGUGUACCCGCGGCAAGACGGAAAGACCCCGUGAACCUUUACUAUAGCUUGACACUGAACAUUGAGCCUUGAUGUGUAGGAUAGGUGGGAGGCUUUGAAGUGUGGACGCCAGUCUGCAUGGAGCCGACCUUGAAAUACCACCCUUUAAUGUUUGAUGUUCUAACGUGGACCCGUUACCCGGGUUGCGGACAGUGUCUGGUGGGUAGUUUGACUGGGGCGGUCUCCUCCUAAAGAGUAACGGAGGAGCACGAAGGUUGGCUAAUCCUGGUCGGACAUCAGGAGGUUAGUGCAAUGGCAUAAGCCAGCUUGACUGCGAGCGUGACGGCGCGAGCAGGUGCGAAAGCAGGUCAUAGUGAUCCGGUGGUUCUGAAUGGAAGGGCCAUCGCUCAACGGAUAAAAGGUACUCCGGGGAUAACAGGCUGAUACCGCCCAAGAGUUCAUAUCGACGGCGGUGUUUGGCACCUCGAUGUCGGCUCAUCACAUCCUGGGGCUGAAGUAGGUCCCAAGGGUAUGGCUGUUCGCCAUUUAAAGUGGUACGCGAGCUGGGUUUAGAACGUCGUGAGACAGUUCGGUCCCUAUCUGCCGUGGGCGCUGGAGAACUGAGGGGGGCUGCUCCUAGUACGAGAGGACCGGAGUGGACGCAUCACUGGUGUUCGGGUUGUCAUGCCAAUGGCACUGCCCGGUAGCUAAAUGCGGAAGAGAUAAGUGCUGAAAGCAUCUAAGCACGAAACUUGCCCCGAGAUGAGUUCUCCCUGAGACUUAAAGUCUCCUGAAGGAACGUUGAAGACGACGACGUUGAUAGGCCGGGUGUGUAAGCGCAGCGA
rnacentral:rRNA from 1 species